rnacentral:rRNA from 1 species
GUACAAAUCAUCAUCGUCCCUUUAUCGACCGUGGGCUACACACGUGCUAACAAGUUGGUUGGUACACGAGUUGCGAGUCGGUGACGGCGAGCUAAUCUCUUAAAGCCAAUCUCAGUUCGGAUUGUAGGCUGCAACUCGCCUACAUGAAGUCGGAAUCGCUAGUAAUCGCGGAUCAGCACGCCGCGGUGAAUACGUUCCCGGGCCUU